rnacentral:rRNA from 1 species
UGGGGAAUAUUGCACAAUGGGCGCAAGCCUGAUGCAGCCAUGCCGCGUGUGUGAAGAAGGCCUUCGGGUUGUAAAGCACUUUCAGCGAGGAGGAAGGUGGUGAGCUUAAUACGCUCAUCAAUUGACGUUACUCGCAGAAGAAGCACCGGCUAACUCCGUGCCAGCAGCCGCGGUAAUACGGAGGGUGCAAGCGUUAAUCGGAAUUACUGGGCGUAAAGCGCACGCAGGCGGUUUGUUAAGUCAGAUGUGAAAUCCCCGGGCUCAACCUGGGAACUGCAUUUGAAACUGGCAAGCUAGAGUCUCGUAGAGGGGGGUAGAAUUCCAGGUGUAGCGGUGAAAUGCGUAGAGAUCUGGAGGAAUACCGGUGGCGAAGGCGGCCCCCUGGACGAAGACUGACGCUCAGGUGCGAAAGCGUGGGGCAGCAAACAGGAUUAGAUACCCUGGUAGUCCAGCGCUGUAAAACGAUGUCGAUUUGGAGGUUGUGCCCUUGAGGCGUGGCUUCCGGAGCUAACGCGUUAAAGUCGACCGCCUGGGGG